rnacentral:misc_RNA from 1 species
GUAGGUGAACCUGCGGAAGGAUCAUUAACACUUUUCUUUUUUUUUUGAAUCUAUCCAAUUCAAAAAAAAAUUAACACCCUAACACCAAAAUCGUGAAUGUUUCUUUUCUGCUCUCCUUCUCUUUUUUUUUUCUCUCUCUCUCGAAAGAAAAAAAAAAAGAAAGAGAAAGGGAAUUAAACGCUAUUCUACCUUCCUAUUUUAACCCCAUCAACCUUUUAUUAAGCAAAAAAACUUAUUAAGUAUAGAUGUAAAAUAAACUAAAAUACAACUCUUAACAAUGGAUAUCUUGGUUCUC